rnacentral:tRNA from 1 species
GGCUGGCUAGCUCACUUGGUAGAGCAUGAGACUCUUGAUCUUAGGGUUGUGGGUUCGAGCCCCAUGUUGGGCA